GAUGAACGCUGGCGGCGUGCUUAACACAUGCAAGUCGAACGAAGCAACUUAUCACGAUCCCUUCGGGGUGACGAUUUGUUGACUGAGUGGCGGACGGGUGAGUAACGCGUGGGUAACCUACCUUGUACAGGGGGACAACAGUUGGAAACGACUGCUAAUACCGCAUAAGCGCACAGCUUCGCAUGAAGCAGUGUGAAAAGUUUUUCGGUACAAGAUGGACCCGCGUCUGAUUAGCUAGUUGGUGAGGUAACGGCCCACCAAGGCGACGAUCAGUAGCCGACCUGAGAGGGUGACCGGCCACAUUGGGACUGAGACACGGCCCAAACUCCUACGGGAGGCAGCAGUGGGGAAUAUUGCACAAUGGGCGAAAGCCUGAUGCAGCGACGCCGCGUGAGCGAAGAAGUAUUUCGGUAUGUAAAGCUCUAUCAGCAGGGAAGAUAAUGACGUA
rnacentral:rRNA from 1 species